UCGAAUGCGUGAAGUGUACAAUUACCUUUCUGAUAACAAUUAUCCACCAUCCUACUCCAUGCUACAGAAGCUAACUUUAAGAAGAUAUGCUUCAAAUUUUCCAUUCAAAUAGUGCAACUGUGGUCUCAAAAGGCUGUUGGACAAAUUUAAGCUAUUGUCGGUCCUUACAAGCUGUAUGACACUUCAUUUGAAACUCUGAAAGAAUCCGCCUGGUUGUCAGAUGAGGUAAGGAAAUAUCUAAUUCAAACCAUUUGAACAGCCCUUUUUCAUGACAUAAUAAUACUGAUAAAAUACCUUCUGCUUAUACCUUUUGUGUGUGUGUAACAUUAAGUGAUUGAUUCAUACCUCCAUGUAUUAACAAACACACUAAAGAUCAGAAUACAAGAACAUGAGAUUGUGCUGUGCCCUUACAAUACUGGAAGUCACUGGAUUCUUGUGAUUGUGAAAAUGUGUGAAAAUACUGUGGUCCUGAUUAAUCCACUGGGCGAGGAGGACAAGUAUAGCCGACGAAUUUUAAGAA